CAACCUCCUUGUGGUGAGACCUGGUAAUUGAUAUUGCUUGCGUUGUAGAAUUUUAUAUAUUUGUAACUAUCAACGCAGGUACUGUCAAGCUAAUGGCUGCUAUUUUUUAAUAUAAACAUUUGAAAUUUGAAAAAUUUGGAAAAUUUGCAAAAUUUAGAAAAUUUGGAAAAUUUGAUAUGUUCUAACUUUCGAUUAAUUAAUAAAAGAUUGCUAUUGAAGCCUGCAAUCUCCAAAUCUGUUUCUCGAAGAAGGCAAUGGUUCUAGAUAUUGUUGGCGAUUUCUCAUAUUACAUAGUCCCAGUCUACUAAUAGUAUCUUCAUAUUCUGUUCUAUCAGUGAAUGGUUCAUUCCAGAGAGUGAAGGUUUCUGGAACUGCAUAUAUAAUUUUUCGAAAUAAUUUAGAAACAAGUUAGUUAUGAUUUAGAAAUAAAUUUAGAUACGACUUACAAAUUAUUCUUAUAAAUAAAAAAGGUUGAUAGUUUUAGCAGGUUCAAUAGUUGGUCUUUCAAUAGCCGAAUAUCUAAAUCUAGUUGGAUCUCUGUAAGCAUCUCUUAGAUCGGUAAUUGCUGGUUUGAUAGGAGCACCAAUAGGAGAAUCAACAGCUGCCAUAAGUGUUCUAUAAUGAGCUAUAGUUUCACAGGUACUGUUCAACAAAGUCGUUGUGAGAUUUGCCAUUUCAUGAUUAACUGCAAUCAUUUCACCUUGAAGUCUUCGUUCUUUAUUGGCCAACUGAACGUAUCUUGAGAGAUUUAGAAAAAAGAAAAAUCGAGUUAGAUGUGUCUAUGAAGAUAUAAUCGGAUACCGGUAUCCAUAGGAGGUUGUGCAGGUUUAGCAAGAAGUGGUUUAGGAUUAGGCCAUAUAAAAUCUUUCUGAGUAAUCGUUGUGAAAGUAUCCAUGAUGAUAUUUGCCAUUUUUCAUAAAGGAAAUUUAAUUGAAUCUCGAUUAGGGAAAGUUACAGAAAAAUUCACAAAGAAUUUUGGGUCCUAAAAUUUGUUGAAUCGUUUUAUGACAAUGAUCUGUCAGUAGUAUGUGAUUUUUCGGAUAGAUUAGAGCGCAUGAUCGUUUGAAAAAACCAUAUUGUAGUAUCCUUCAUCAUGAUAAUGCUGGCAAGCGUGAUUUUGUAUAAAAUAUAAUAUAGGAUUGCAUUUAAAAGAAUUUGGAUGAUAUUCGUUGUAUUUGAAUCGGUUAUUAUGUCGAAGUUCAUCAUUCUCUUUACUGUUAAUUUAAAUAUUUUUUUUUUCUAAUUAAAGGUAAUUAGUGCUAUCUACCAUUAUUGUAUGUAUAUAUACAUAUAUAUGUUUGAAGUUAUCGGGUAUUUAAUUUUAAGAAAGAGUGGGGAGGAAGUAGUUAUGUAUUUAUUGAUUCGUUAAUUAAAAUGUUUUAGAAUAUUUUUUUUUAUAAUGUUAGAAAUAGCAUAGAAUAAUUCUUGCAUAUAGAUAUUUCAUAAUAAUAAGUAAUUAGGUACACUGUAUAUUAGAUAUUAUAUUGAUACAUUAAUUAUUUUUUAAUAUUAAUUAUAAAACAUAGAAAAAUUUUUGAAGAUAUAAAUUUUAUAGUCAAGGUAGGGGUGCACUGCUAGAUAGAUUUUAGUUCAAUACAUCUACUGAUUGAUAAAUUAAUUGUUGAUAGGAUUAUAAAUUUCUUUUAUUAAUAUUAGAAAUAGCAUAGAAUAAUUUUAAAAUAUAAAAAUUUCAUAAUAAAAUAGGUAAUAUCACGUAA